rnacentral:rRNA from 1 species
GACGAACGCUGGCGGCGUGCUUAACACAUGCAAGUCGAACGGAAAGGCCCUGCUUUUGUGGGGUGCUCGAGUGGCGAACGGGUGAGUAACACGUGAGUAACCUGCCCUUGACUUUGGGAUAACUUCAGGAAACUGGGGCUAAUACCGGAUAGGAGCUCCUGCUGCAUGGUGGGGGUUGGAAAGUUUCGGCGGUUGGGGAUGGACUCGCGGCUUAUCCGCUUGUUGGUGGGGUAGUGGCUUACCAAGGCUUUGACGGGUAGCCGGCCUGGGAGGGUGACCGGCCACAUUGGGACUGAGAUACGGCCCAGACUCCUACGGGAGGCAGCAGUGGGGAAUAUUGCACAAUGGGCGGAAGCCUGAUGCAGCAACGCCGCGUGCGGGAUGACGGCCUUCGGGUUGUAAACCGCUUUCGCCGGUGACGAAGCGUGAGUGACGGUAAUGGGUAAAGAAGCACCGGCUAACUACGUG